CCAUUGCUCAGUUGGUAAAGCACAAAGCUCUCAACCUUGUGAAUAUGGGUUCAAGCCCCAUGAUGGG
rfam:Triticum aestivum genome assembly, contig: Triticum_aestivum_CS42_TGACv1_scaffold_557722_7AL